rnacentral:rRNA from 1 species
UACGUAGGGGGCAAGCGUUGUCCGGAUUUAUUGGGCUUAAAGGGUGCGUAGGUGGUCUAUUAAGUCAGUGGUGAAAUCUCCCGGCUUAACCGGGAGGGUGGCAUUGAUACUGAUAGACUUGAGUAGAGUUGAGGUAGGCGGAAUUGACGGUGUAGCGGUGAAAUGCUUAGAUAUCGUCAAGAACACCAAUAGCGAAGGCAGCUUACUAAGCUAUAACUGACACUGAUGCACGAAAGUGUGGGGAUCAAACAGG